UUCCAAACGACACCUCCGCAAGGAUGGAUCAAUUUUCCUCGCCUCCUCCUACCUCUUUCUCUCACCUCCUGUCUUUGCCUCCACGCCGCACCGCACACAAGAUUGCCUUCUGACUCCGAACCGCGCCGCCACAUCCACCUCUACUAGGUCUCCCCCGAAGCCACACACCCACACCAUACCCGCACCAGCCAUCCUCGCGAUUUCUCCGUCUCCCAUCGUCAGUCGCCACCGCACCCUCCUCCCACCGGAUUCAGAGGCGAUUCAUGGGAGUGGUGCGCAGGUUGCUACUGCGGCAUCAAUGGAGGCUGACUGCCAUGGAGGAUCUGAGCAUCGAGGCGAAGGAGGCCGCGGUACGCAUGCCCCAUCCUCCGCGAGGCGGCCUCCCUCCGAGCACCCACCGGCGUCAUCUUCCUCAAGGCCCGCUCGGUCGUUCCUGUCCGUUCCUCCUCUUCUUGUGCGGUUGUUAUUGAUCGAAGUAAUACUCAUAUAAUAACCAGCCAGUGGUAAGAGAAGCGAGCACCGUGCCAAAGCAAACAAUGGGUGCAGGACAAUUGCUAAUGCUGCCAAGCGAAGCGACAUCCGUUUGGUUAGUGGCUGCAUUUUUUUUUUUGGAAGGGUGAGUAAUUAGCUGACUCUGUCAGAAGCAGUAAAAUCAGUAUUAGUACCAGUUGAAAAGGACAGUGGGCGCCAUCUACUAGGUCUCUGUUUGGAUGUCGAUAUUGAGAGCCGUGGAAUUGAAAUGGGAGCAAUAUCAAUACUGAGUGCCUGAGUGGUAAUUGAAAUGGCUUCGGAUUCAAUAUCAUUGUUCUGACGGCACGAGAAAUGGCCUCAGAUACAAUACCAAUCAAUACGCAGCAGGACAACUCGGAAUUGGUACUUGGGUGUUUUAGCUGGGCCGAAUACCAUUGGGAAACUGGCUACAUUUUCGACCUUCAAUUCUAGGGACACCCAAACGCUGGAAUUUGGGCCAGCCAUUUCCAAUUCCGAAUUCUAGGCUUCAGUGUCUACAACUAAACGAGCUAUAGGUGUUUGUGUGUACGACUGUACGUUACGUUGCUCAUAAAAGACAAUACUCCUGCCUUCAAC
rnacentral:misc_RNA from 1 species